ACAGAGGUCUCAAGCGUUGUUCGGAAUCACUGGGCGUAAAGGGUGCGUAGGCCGCAUGGUAAGUCAGAGGUGAAAUCCCGGAGCUCAACUCCGGAAUUGCCUCCGAUACUGCCGUGCUUGAGGACUGGAGAGGAGUCUGGAAUUCACAGUGGAGCAGUGAAAUGCGUAGAUAUUGUGAGGAACACUAGUUGCGAAGGCGAGACUCUGGACAGUUCCUGACGCUGAGGCACGAAGGCCAGGGGAGCAAACGGGAUUAGAUACCCCGGUAGUCCUGGCAGUAAACGGUGCACGCUUGGUGUGGCGGGAUUCGACCCCUGCCGUGCCGGAGCAAACGCGUUAAGCGUGCCGCCUGGGAAGUACGGUCGCAAGAUUA
rnacentral:rRNA from 1 species